rnacentral:rRNA from 1 species
UGCACAAUGGGCGAAAGCCUGAUGCAGCAACGCCGCGUGAGGGAUGACGGCCUUCGGGUUGUAAACCUCUUUUAGCAGGGAAGAAGCGAAAGUGACGGUACCUGCAGAAAAAGCGCCGGCUAACUACGUGCCAGCAGCCGCGGUAAUACGUAGGGCGCAAGCGUUAUCCGGAAUUAUUGGGCGUAAAGAGCUCGUAGGCGGUUUGUCGCGUCUGCUGUGAAAACCCGAGGCUCAACCUCGGGCCUGCAGUGGGUACGGGCAGACUAGAGUGCGGUAGGGGAGAUUGGAAUUCCUGGUGUAGCGGUGGAAUGCGCAGAUAUCAGGAGGAACACCGAUGGCGAAGGCAGAUCUCUGGGCCGUAACUGACGCUGAGGAGCGAAAGGGUGGGGAGCAAACAGGCUUAGAUACCCUGGUAGUCCACCCCGUAAACGUUGGGAACUAGUUGUGGGGUCCAUUCCACGGAUUCCGUGACGCAGCUAACGCAUUAAGUUCCCCGCCUGGGGAGUACGGCCGCAAGGCUAAAACUCAAAGGAAUUGACGGGGACCCGCACAAGCGGCGGAGCAUGCGGAUUAAUUCGAUGCAACGCGAAGAACCUUACCAAGGCUUGACAUAUACGAGAACGGGCCAGAAAUGGUCAACUCUUUGGACACUCGUAAACAGGUGGUGCAUGGUUGUCGUCAGCUCGUGUCGUGAGAUGUUGGGUUAAGUCCCGCAACGAGCGCAACCCUCGUUCUAUGUUGCCAGCACGUAAUGGUGGGAACUCAUGGGAUACUGCCGGGGUCAACUCGGAGGAAGGUGGGGAUGACGUCAAAUCAUCAUGCCCCUUAUGUCUUGGGCUUCACGCAUGCUACAAUGGCCGGUACAAAGGGCUGCAAUACCGCAAGGUGGAGCGAAUCCCAAAAAGCCGGUCCCAGUUCGGAUUGAGGUCUGCAACUCGACCUCAUGAAGUCGGAGUCGCUAGUAAUCGCAGAUCAGCAACGCUGCGGUGAAUACGUUCCCGGGUCUUGUACACACCGCCCGUCAAGUCAUGAAAGUCGGUAACACCUGAAGCCGGUUGCCCAACCCUUGUGGAGGGAGCCGUCGAAGGUG